UAGUCAUCCUUGGGUGUCCUUUGACAAUGU
rnacentral:piRNA from 1 species